rnacentral:rRNA from 1 species
CCUACGGGCUGCACCAGUGGGGAAUAUUGCACAAUGGGCGCAAGUCUGAUGCAGCCAUGCCGCGUGUAUGAAGAAGGCCCUAGGGUUGUAAAGUACUUUCAGUCGGGAGGAAGGCGCUGAUGCUAAUAUCAUCAACGAUUGACGUUACCGACAGAAGAAGCACCGGCUAACUCCGUGCCAGCAGCCGCGGUAAUACGGAGGGUGCAAGCGUUAAUCGGAAUUACUGGGCGUAAAGCGCACGCAGGCGGUUGAUUAAGUCAGAUGUGAAAUCCCCGGGCUUAACCUGGGAAUGGCAUCUAAGACUGGUCAGCUAGAGUCUUGUAGAGGGGGGUGGAAUUCCAUGUGUAGCGGUGAAAUGCGUAGAGAUGUGGAGGAAUACCGGUGGCGAAGGCGGCCCCCUGGACAAGGACUGACGCUCAGGUGCGAAAGCGUGGGGAGCAAACAGGAUUAGAUACCCGAGUAGUC